rnacentral:pre_miRNA from 1 species
GUCGCCUAGGGAUCUUGUUAAGAAGCAGAAUCUGAUUUAGUAGGUCUGAGUAGGGCCUGGGGUUCUGCAUUUCUAACAAGCUUCUGGGGGAUGCUAA